rnacentral:rRNA from 1 species
UGGCUCAGGAUGAACGCUGGCGGCGUGCUUAACACAUGCAAGUCGAACGAUGAAGCCCAGCUUGCUGGGUGGAUUAGUGGCGAACGGGUGAGUAACACGUGAGUAACCUGCCCUUAACUCUGGGAUAAGCCUGGGAAACURGGUCUAAUACCGGAUAGGAGCGCCUACCGCAUGGUGGGUGUUGGAAAGAUUUAUCGGUUUUGGAUGGACUCGCGGCCUAUCAGCUUGUUGGUGAGGUAAUGGCUCACCAAGGCGACGACGGGUAGCCGGCCUGAGAGGGUGACCGGCCACACUGGGACUGAGACACGGCCCAGACUCCUACGGGAGGCAGCAGUGGGGAAUAUUGCACAAUGGGCGAAAGCCUGAUGCAGCGACGCCGCGUGAGGGAUGACGGCCUUCGGGUUGUAAACCUCUUUCAGUAGGGAAGAAGCGAAAGUGACGGUACCUGCAGAAGAAGCACCGGCUAACUACGUGCCAGCAGCCGCGGUAAUACGUAGGGUGCGAGCGUUAUCCGGAAUUAUUGGGCGUAAAGAGCUCGUAGGCGGUUUGUCGCGUCUGUCGUGAAAGUCCGGGGCUUAACCCCGGAUCUGCGGUGGGUACGGGCAGACUAGAGUGCAGUAGGGGAGACUGGAAUUCCUGGUGUAGCGGUGGAAUGCGCAGAUAUCAGGAGGAACACCGAUGGCGAAGGCAGGUCUCUGGGCUGUAACUGACGCUGAGGAGCGAAAGCAUG